rnacentral:sRNA from 1 species
UCACAGCUGUAUUGACCUCAUGGAGAA